AUGAGACUGGCGACAGUCAUCGGGACGAUCAUCUCCCCGGCGCAGUCAGCUUUCCAGAAGACAAAGUGCAUCCAUGAUAGUUUCUUGUUCGUCCAGAACAAUGUGCGCUCUCUACAUCGCCGUAAAACCCCGACUCUGUUACUGAAGCUUGACAUUGCAAAGGCGUUCGACAGCAUCUCAUGGGAGUUUCUUCUCGAGCUUCUCGACAAGAUGGGCUUUCCGGCGUGCUGGCGUGAUUGGGUGACCCUGCUCCUCUCCACGUCCUCGGCAUCAUGCCUCCUCAAUGGCGUCCCGGGCACCACGUUCAUUCACUUGCGUGGGCUGAGACAAGGUGACCCCCCUCUCUCCGCUGCUGUUCAUUCUCUGCAUCAACCCUCUACACCGGCUUCUUCAGGCUGCAAGUAG
rnacentral:rRNA from 1 species